UAUCACGUUGAAACAUUGGUUCUCUUACGAUCACCGAAGUUAAGCAACGUUGAGCCUUGUCAGUACCUAGAUGGGUGAUCGUUUGGGGAAUACCACGCACUGUAAG